rnacentral:rRNA from 1 species
AAGGAUCAUUCAUAAUAAGUGUUUUAUGGCACUUUUUUAAAUCCAUAUCCACCUUGUGUGCAAUGUCAGGGUUGGUCUCUUGAAAAAGAGAUCAACCCCAAACAUCAACCCAAUCUUAACUCUUUGUCUGAAAAAUAUUAUGAAUAAAACAAUUCAAAAUACAACUUUCAACAACGGAUCUCUUGGCUCUCGCAUCGAUGAAGAACGCAGCGAAAUGCGAUACGUAAUGUGAAUUGCAGAAUUCAGUGAAUCAUCGAAUCUUUGAACGCAUAUUGCGCUCUUUGGUAUUCCGAAGAGCAUGCUUGUUUGAGUAUCAGUAAACACCUCAAAGUCUUUUUUUUUAUUAAAAAAGACUUUGGACUUGAGCAAUCCCAACACCAAUCUCUUGAGAGUGGGGGCGGGUUGCUUGAAAUGCAGGUGCAGCUGGACAUUCUCCUGAGCUAAAAGCAUAUUCAUUUAGUCCCGUCAAACGGAUUAUUACUUUUGCUGCAGCUAACAUAAAGGGAGUUUGACCAUUUUGGCUGACUGAUGCAGGAUUUUCACAAGAGUCUUCAAAAGCUUUUGUUAAACUCGAUCUCAAAUCAAGUAAGACUACCCGCUGAACUUAA